AUGAAGCAAGAGAGUGAGAACGGUGAACAUUUUUUGGUAUUUAGGGUUAACAUAGCGAUUCUUAAAAUCCAAUGGCUCGAGUCUCCUCCAAUCUCAAACCAAAUCGGCACCGAACAUCUCCGAUUCACCAACUCUUCUCAUCGCCGACCUCCGUCUUGCUAUCUCCAUCCUACAUAUGCCGAUUCAGCUUAUCCUCUUCUUCACGAAGGCGUCGAGCGUAGCACCAACGUCUCCUCUGAUCGGACACUCGCUGUUGUAGCUCUGUCUUCAGAUUUCUUUCGACUUCGGUCUUGA